rnacentral:rRNA from 1 species
UGAGGAAUAUUGGUCAAUGGGCGAGAGCCUGAACCAGCCACGUCGCGUGAAGGAAGACUGCCCUUACGGUUUGUAAACUUCUUUUGUAGAGGGGUAAUGGCAGAUACGUGUAUUUGCGUGACAGCACUCUACGAAUAAGCAUCGGCUAACUCCGUGCCAGCAGCCGCGGUAAUACGGGGGAUGCGAGCGUUAUCCGGAAUUAUUGGGUUUAAAGGGUGCGCAGGUCGCUAAUCAGGUCAGUGGUGAAAAGCUAUGGCUCAACCAUGGUCGUGCCAUGGAAACCGUAUAGCUAGAGAGGGGUCGAGGUAGGCGGAAUGUGUGGUGUAGCGGUGAAAUGCGUAGAUAUCACACAGAACUCCGAUUGCGAAGGCAGCUUACCAGGCUUUAUCUGACACUUAGGCACGACAGCGUGGGGAUCAAACAGG